GACGAACGCUGGCGGCGUGCUUAACACAUGCAAGUCGAACGGAAAGGCCCUGCUUUUGUGGGGUGCUCGAGUGGCGAACGGGUGAGUAACACGUGAGUAACCUGCCCUUGACUUUGGGAUAACUUCAGGAAACUGGGGCUAAUACCGGAUAGGAGCUCCUGCUGCAUGGUGGGGGUUGGAAAGUUUCGGCGGUUGGGGAUGGACUCGCGGCUUAUCAGCUUGUUGGUGGGGUAGUGGCUUACCAAGGCUUUGACGGGUAGCCGGCCUGAGAGGGUGACCGGCCACAUUGGGACUGAGAUACGGCCCAGACUCCUACGGGAGGCAGCAGUGGGGAAUACUGCACAAUGGGAGGAAGCCUGAUGCAGCAACGCCGCGUGCGGGAUGACGGCCUUCGGGUUGUAAACCGCUUUCGCCUGUGACGAAGCGUGAGUGACGGUAAUGGGUAAAGAAGCACCGGCUAACUACGUG
rnacentral:rRNA from 1 species